CAGCCGCCACGGGAAUACGGAGGGUGCAAGCGUUAAUCGGAAUUACUGGGCGUAAAGCGCACGCAGGCGGUUUGUUAAGUCAGAUGUGAAAUCCCCGAGCUUAACUUGGGAACUGCAUUUGAAACUGGCAAGCUAGAGUCUUGUAGAGGGGGGUAGAAUUCCAGGUGUAGCGGUGAAAUGCGUAGAGAUCUGGAGGAAUACCGGUGGCGAAGGCGGCCCCCUGGACAAAGACUGACGCUCAGGUGCGAAAGCGUGGGGAGCAAACAGGAUUAGAUACCCGGGUAGUCCCUGUCUCUUAUAC
rnacentral:rRNA from 1 species